CUUGGGCAUUAAGGAAGGUGUCAGUAUGGCAGCCUGGUUCAUGUUGCUUAAUACUUCAGAGUUAUUUGAUCUAUCUCUCUAGAUUACAUUCAGCAGCGGUGAAUUUAGUGGGACUGAGUUUACUAGAUAGCUUUAACAAACAAAUAAAUAAACAGUAUGAUCAUGAAUGUGAGUUUGAAAGUGAGUAAAACUGUAACAUUAAGUAGCAGAUUAGUGUGUGGACUUGCACUGACUGAGUGAAUUUAUUAAAAAAGGAGCCAGAAGUCUUGCACCAGCCUCGAAGAAAAUCUUCAGCAAUGAGAAGGAAAACAACCAUACCUCCUUGCUUUUGGCAGGAAUCGCAACCAGAUUGAGCACUUCUACAGAGCUCACAAUAAGAAUCUCAUCUACUGGGAGGUCAGUUUGCAGUCAGUCACAUCAGCGGAGUAGCCAUGCUAUGAGCAAGCGAAUCCCUUGUUGCCAGUGGAAACGUAAAUGGUGACUUCUCUGCGCAUACUAAGGUAAAGUUUGGUGUUCUGCAAGGUUCUGUUUUAGGCCCACCUCAUCUUUUCUUUAUAUAUGCUAUCUCUGGGCAAAAUUAUUUGUAAACAUGGUAUUAGCUUCCACUGUUUUGCUGAUGACACACAGUUGUAUGGUUCAGCAAAGCCAAAUGACAGACACCAGCUUAAUAAAGUUGAGGAAUGUGUAAAGGACACUAGACACUGGACGCUUAUUAGCUUCCUUUUACUUAAUUCUGACAAGACAGAAGUACUUGUACUAGGACCACAUGCAGCUAAGUAUGCUUUCUGAUUGCAUAGUAACUCUGUAUGGCCUUUCUGUUUCAUGUGCAGCAGUAAAGGAUCUUGGUGUGAUUAUUGACUCCAGUCUUUCAUUUGAACCUCAUGUUGAUAAUGUUACUUCUUUCAUCUCAGAUACAAAGAUAUUAUGUCACUAUGUGAUGCAGAAAAAUCAGCUCAUGCUUUUGUUACCUCUAGGUUGGAUUAUUGUAAAUGCCUUAUUGUCUGGAUGUUCCAGUAGGUGUAUAAACAAGCUCCAGUUAGUCCAGAAUGCAGCAGCGAGAGUCCUUACUAGAACCAGAAGAUAUGACCACAUCACCCCUAUCUUUUCCACACUGUAUUGGCUUCCAAUCCAAUUUUGUGUUGAUUAUAAAAUACUACUAUUGAACUAUAAAGCACUGAAUGGCCUCAUGCUGCAGUACCUGAGCGAACCUUUGGUCUUUUAUGAUCCAUCACGCCUACUUCGAGCAAAAGGUGCAGGCUCUCUGUUGGUACCUCGAAUAGUGAAGGCUACAGCAGGGGGUACAGCUUUCUCUUACGAAGCCCCACAGUUAUGGAAUAGUCUUCCAAUUAGUGUUUGGGACUCAGACAUAGUCUCUGUGUUUAAACAAAUACUUUUUCAGCCUAGACUUAGUCAAACCUUUUGAGAAUAGUUUUUUCUUAGGUAAAGGAACAGACCUGGAGGGUUCAAAGACAUAGAGUGUUGUGGUGAACUGGGAUGUUUGGAUACUGUCACUCCCCAUCUCUCAUGUGUUCACUCAUAUUUGUUGAUGGUGGAGUGGCUGGCCACUUUAUGUCCCAGGGCACCCUCAUGUCUGUGUUAGCUUCUGGCUCUUCCUUUUAGUUAUGCUGUCAUACUUAGUCUUGCCGAAGUCCCUGCUUGCACUCUGCAUGCAACGUACAUUGUCCCUAACCAUUACAAGACAAAAGCUUAUCCAACAAUCUCUCUCUCUCUGUCGAGCUACACGUGCUGCUCCUGAGAUAGCAGUGAUCCUGACCCCUUCUGCUCUCCGGACCUGUCUGAUCCAUCCUGAUGCCCUGGUUGGAGUUCUCAUCGGUUGGAGUUCUCAUCACUUCCUGCUGCUGGGGGUGGCCCCACAUGGACGGCCUGAAGAUCAUUGGGAUUGCUGAGGAUGGUGCCACUUGGGGACCAUGGAGAUGGCUUUGGACUGCGGUUCAUAUGGGCAGUUGUACUGUGAUGUUUUGGGGCUGCAGUUGCUGCGAGCAGUUUUGCAUUCAGGUAUCAGUGGACAGUGGAAAGGUUCAACAAAACAGACUUCAUGUAAAAACUGUAAUCAAUUUCCUGGUUACACAAUUGCACUAUUGUCCAUGUAGUAGACAGUAAUAAAAAGGAUUUAUUUAUAAUUGCACUAUCCAUUGUCACCCAGAUGGGUUCCCUUUUGAGUCUGGUUCCUCUCAAGGUUUCUUCCUCAUAUCUUCUCAGGGAGUUUUUCCUUGCCCCCCGUCGCCUCUGGCUUGCUCAUUAGGGGUAAAUUCAUACAUUUACAAUUUAUAUCCUGAAUGUAUUUAUUUCUGUAAAGCUGCUUUGUGACAAUGUCCACUGUUACAAGUGCUAUGCAAAUAAAAUUGAAUUGAACUGAAUUGAAAAUCUGGCUUUCCCAGUCACCCGAGUCGCUAACUGGAAGCUCAUCAAAGUCUUCACGUAUUCAGAUUAAGCUUGUCUAACACACGUGUAACGUACUUUCAACUGACUGAAGUACUUCAACUGACUGAAAUAAGCUUAUUUUGUCUAAAAAUGUAAUUUAAUUUAUUUAAGUUUAUUUAAUUGCAUUCAGUUGUACUGCAUGUUUUUUUAAUAAUACAGACAAUUUGCAUAGACAGGAAAUGCAGAAAUGAAGCUCUAUUGUGGCUAGUGUGAAUUGAAUGAAUGAGCUGUGGGCAGGGUGAAAUAAUGAAUGAGUUGCAAGCAGUGUGAAAUAAAAAUAAAUAAAUAUAAAUAAAAAAUAACAGCUCCAUUUCCAGAAAAUUUCCACUGUUUUGCUGGACUUAGAAAAUUUAAAACCCUUACGGGCUCUUUGGUUGUCUUUCUAAAGGAACAGCGUGAUUCCUUAUCAGAAAGGGUUCCAAGAACCCUUUUGGGAGGGUAAGGCCUAAUUAAUCAAUUAACCCUUAAAGAACCCAUGAAAACCUUUUCUCUUAAGAGUGUAUACCAGGGUUCUGCAUGCUGCAUGCAGGAAAAUAAAGUUUAUAAACUAUGAAAGUGAAACAAAAAUAGACAAGAUAGCCUUAAUGAGCCUCAAUGAGUUGUCUGCAUGUCAGUAGUUAAUAUUAUGUAUUAAAACAAACACAUCAGUUGCCUGUGUAGUUUUUCACUGUGUAUACAUUUACAAAGCCUCAUGUGGGCUUGAUUAGCAUUAUUGCGUUAGAUAGACAAGAAAAAUUUAUGUUUUGACAGCAUUAAAUAAGCCUGUGUCCCCAAGAUUAGCUGAUGUCUUCAAGUGGCACUUGAGUCUAAGACAAAUCCUUUUUUUUUCUUGUAAAAUACGCUAGUAACAACUCAUUACUUCUAUUUAAAUUCAGAUAUGAUAUAAAUAAGAGAUAAUACAGUUUUAAAACUGUUUUUCUUACAUUUCUUCAUGAAAAUUGCUGGAGUUGCUCUGUUUCUGGAGUUGUUUUCUGGAGAAUUGCUGUGAGUUCCUGUUUCUGGAGGGACCUGUUCAACAGUAUUCAAAUACUGUGAUCUUGCAUAAUUUGCCGAUUUCAUUGCUAUUAGCUCAAUCAUGCCUUCUUCUAUCUUGACAAUGUACAAAACAGUUGAUUUUGACCUAAUCAGAAUGUUUUGUCACUUGUCCGAAUAAUGAAUUAUUCAGCCUUGCAGUGGUUUCCUUUACUAGUUCUGACACCUCUGGAUUCUGCUACACAUUAUUGGGUUUGAAAUCAAAAUAUAAACAUGAGAUGAUAGAUCAGAAUUUCAGCUUUCAUUUCCUGAUAUUUACAUCUAGAUGUGUUAAACAACUUGAACAUGGCACCUUUUCUUUAAACCCAUCCAUUUUUAAGUAAUCAAAAAUACUGGAACAUGUGAUUGACAGGUGUUUCUUAUCCUGUUAGAUUGAGUGUUUAAACAAUUAAUAGCUCUGAAUGUCUACUCUUGGUUUGAGCCUUGGGUUUCACCUGUGAAGACUGCAUCUGUUGUUAAAAAGGGUAAACAUGAAGACCAGAGAGCUUCCUAUGGGAGAAAAACAAGAGGAAAAAUCAAUCAGAGCUAUUGCACAAGAAUUGAGCAUGGCCGCUACAAGAAAAUGGAAUGUUCUGAAAAAGAAAUAAAUCACUGGUGUACUAACAACCAGACAUCAGACAGGUCAGACAAGGAAAACAACAGCAGCUGAUAACAGAAACAUUGUGAGAGCAGUGAAGGAAAAGCCACAAACAGUCAGUGACAUCAUCAACAAACUUCACAAGGCAGGGGUGAAGGUAUCACAAUCCACCGUUUGAAGAAGACUUCGAGGUACCAGCCUGGAAAGGCAUCACAAAAGAAGAAAGCAACAGUUUGGUGAUGUCGGUGGGUUCCUGGCUUGAUGCAGUUAUUGCAAGCAAGGGAUAUGCAACCACAUAUUAAGUGUUAUUUACUUUAGUUUCAUUUUAAUUAUUUUAAAUAUCUGUUCCAAUGCCUUUGCUCAGCUAAAAACUGGGUGGUCUGCCACCAAAGGUGCCGUGUUCGAAGUUAUUUAACACAUUUAGAUGUAAAUAUCAGGAAAUAAAAGCUGUAAUUCUGAAAUGCUGAAAUUCUAUCAUCUCAUAUUUAUCCUUUCAUCUCAAAUCCAAAUGUCUCUAGUGUACAGCAAAACAAAAGAAUUGGCCCUGCUGUUCCCGUACUCAGAGGAGACUGUAAGUACCACACUGAAGUUAGACAUAGUAAUGCAACUCCACACAACUGUCAAAGAAACAACUAAGCAGACAAUGAUGACUUUAGACUGUGAUUUUCUCACAAUAGAAGUGUUUCCUCACAAUGAUUAGAGAUGGCAAUCCCCUGCUACUUCAUUAUGUUCCAUACCAUUAUAGCAGUUUCCUUUAGAUUUUUCCCAUUUUUACAUUUCCUUGCCUAGUACCAAUAACAAAGUCAUCUUAAAUGUGGGUCUUUGUCAAGUGGGUCAAUACCGUCCUCUGUCUUGUCGUGCUGGAAGUGGAUUUCAGAAAUGCUAGGAUAUAGGGUUCUUAUCCUUCAUUGUUCUCAAAUAAGUGUACUUUCAUUACUAUUAAAUCCAUACACACCUAUAUGCUGACACACACCUUGGAUGACACUAAUUGUGGUGCUCUUGCCAUGGGUGAUUUUUCCCAGGCCUGACUCCAACUGCAGCAUAAUGCCAACUAUGAGAAUAUAUGGCAGGCUAUAAGCAGGGAUGCAAACUCAUCAGGGGUGAAAAAGAUGACAAAGAUGGUCGCAUGCCCCCUCACGAGGCGCUGAGCAUCUAUUCCAAGCUGAGCGAUGCACGCUUGGCGUUUUUUCUAGUCACCGAGAGUUGAAAAAUGUUCAACUUUGGGUUAAAUGCAGCGCUCGUCACUGUCACUUUUUACCCAGCCAUACAAUCACAGUGGAGGAGGGGUGGGACAAAUACCAGAUCGACCAACUGUCACAUCCUCUGCUUGGAGGCAUUUCGUUCACCAUGGCUCUACAAGGUAAGCAGCAGGCAGCUAGACUCAGCCAGUUGAUCGGGAAAAAAGUUCAUAUAGUGUAGCUUGCUAACCAUCAACAGCUAUUUACUUCAACUUUCUAUAUAUAACACUUGGAAAUUAGAAUAUUCUCCUUGUUUCAAGUUCUCAAAACAGACUAAUCUUUUUGUCCUUACAAAUUUCUGUAGAAAAAUGUCAUAAAAAGUGGAAAUACCUGACCUGACAGUUACAGGAGAGAGAAAAAUGAGGAGAAAGAGAGAAAGAGGUCUGGUUCAGGGGCAGCAGGAGGCAGUCGGAGGCAGAAGUCCAUCCUCAGCUUCCUGGAGCCAUACAUCCAGGAAAGGGACACCUCUAGCAAUUUCAGGCAGAAUAGGCCAUGUGAUGAGGAUGUCAAUGGAGGCUCUCCUUGAGUCCCUGGUAAUACCAGUGGAGACAACAGAUGAGACCACACAUUCAUCAGAGUCCCAAACCCAGGCCAACACCACACAGCCCAGAUCUCCUGACUCCCCUGAUGUGCCACUCCCCUGAUGUUUCACCACCCUGCACACCUGAAAGACAUGCUCGCUGUACUCUUGCUCCGAAGAGAAGGGCUGUGCCAAAUGUGUCUGAGUAUCAGCGGUGUGUCCUGAAUGCCUUUAAUAAUAAGCCAGAUGAUGAGGAGCAUUUUCUUUUAAGUUUAGCUGGGGCUUUGGAACGCCUUCCUUCAUGCAGUUGGAUCAGAGGUUAAAAUCAAAUUCCAACAGAUUUUACAUGAAGCAGAAUUUAACUCUGACAAUCAGUAAAACACUCACAUACAUACAGACAACAAUUAAUAAAUAUGUAGCAAUAGCUUUAUUUUUUUAUAACGAUUUUUUUUAUGACAGUUUG